CCUACGGGUGGCUGCAGUAGGGAAUAUUGCGCAAUGGGGGAAACCCUGACGCAGCAACGCCGCGUGAGUGAGGAAGGUCUUCGGAUUGUAAAACUCUGUUCUUAGGGAAAAAUGAUAUUAUGGCUAAUAUCCAUAGUAAGUGAUGGUACCUAAGUAGAAAGCACCGGCUAACUUCGUGCCAGCAGCCGCGGUAAUACGAAGGGUGCAAGCGUUGUUCGGAAUCAUUGGGCGUAAAGCGCGCGCAGGCGGAUUAAUAAGUCAGGUGUGAAAUCUCG
rnacentral:rRNA from 1 species